rnacentral:tRNA from 1 species
AUUUAAAUAGCUUAAUUAAAGCUAAGUAUUGAAGAUACUUCGAUGGUUUCGACCUUUAAAUA